rnacentral:lncRNA from 1 species
ACCUUUAUAAGGUGAAAUUAUAUCUUACAUUAAACUUUUCUUUAUUAUGCUACUCCUAAGACUUGCAUUUGUUUUUGUUUAGACCAUUUUGAUGUCCGAGGAUGAACAUGUAUACAAUCACAUGGCAACAGUGGGACAAAAUAGAAAGCAAAAAGGUUCUUAAGUCCAAAGAAGGUCCCAAGUCAAGUACCCCCGAAAGGUAUUUGGAAGUUGAAAAUCCAAACUUUUCGACUUUUUACCCGAGAAAGGCCUCGAGUCCGUGCACUUAACACGAUUUGGACAAGGAUGCAAAUGCGAUUCCAGCCAGUGGAAAAUCCAACAGGUAUACAAUUAACAGGAC